rnacentral:rRNA from 1 species
CCAAUAGCGUAUAUUAAAGUUGUUGCAGUUAAAAAGCUCGUAGUUGAAUUUCGGGAUUGGCGCAUCGGUCGUGCCUCACGGGGUAUGAACUGGUGCAGUCAAUUUCUCACCUUCUGGAGAACCGCGAUGUCCUUAAUUGGAUGCCGCGGGGAACCAGGACCUUUACUUUGAAAAAAUUAGAGUGUUUAAAGCAGGCAUUUUUGCUUGAAUACAUUAGCAUGGAAUAAUAAAAUAGGACGGCAUGGUUCUAUUUUGUUGGUUUCUAGGACCACCGUAAUGAUUAAUAGGGAUAGUUGGGGGCAUUAGUAUUCAAUUGUCAGAGGUGAAAUUCUUGGAUUUAUUGAAGACUAACUACUGCGAAAGCAUUUGCCAAGGAUGUUUUCAUUAAUCAAGAACGAAAGUUAGGGGAUCGAAGACGAUCAGAUACCGUCGUAGUCUUAACCAUAAACUAUGCCGACUAGGAAUCAGACGAUGUUAAUUUUUUAAUGACUCGUUUGGCACCUUACA